rnacentral:rRNA from 1 species
GUUAAUUCGAAGCAACGCGAAGAACCUUACCAGGUCUUGACAUCCCGAUGCUAUUUCUAGAGAUAGAAAGUUACUUCGGUACAUCGGUGACAGGUGGUGCAUGGUUGUCGUCAGCUCGUGUCGUGAGAUGUUGGGUUAAGUCCCGCAACGAGCGCAACCCCUAUUGUUAGUUGCCAUCAUUCAGUUGGGCACUCUAGCGAGACUGCCGGUAAUAAACCGGAGGAAGUGGGGAUGACGUCAAAUCAUCAUGCCCCUUAUGACCUGGGCUACACACGUGCUACAAUGGUUGGUACAACGAGUUGCGAGUCGGUGACGGCGAGCUAAUCUCUUAAAGCCAAUCUCAGUUCGGAUUGUAGGCUGCAACUCGCCUACAUGAAGUCGGAAUCGCUAGUAAUCGCGGAUCAGCACGCCGCGGUGAAUACGUUCCCGGGCCUU